rnacentral:misc_RNA from 1 species
AGCAGCCGCGGUAAUUCCAGCUCCAAUAGCGUAUAUUAAAGUUGGUGCAGUUAAAAAGCUCGUAGUUGAAUUUCGGGAUCAAUAUGUUGGUCGUGCCUUGGUACGUACUGGCGUCAUUGAUUUCUACCUUCUGAAGAACCUCGAUGUCAUUAAUUUGGUGUCUUGGGGAAUCAGGACUGUUACUUUGAAAAAAUUAGAGUGUUUAAAGCAAGCUCACGCUUGAAUACAUUAGCAUGGAAUAAUGAAAUAGGACGUUUGAUUCUAUUUUGUUGGUUUCUAGGAUCGACGUAAUGAUUAAUAGGGAUAGUUGGGGGCAUUAGUAUUCAAUUGUCAGAGGUGAAAUUCUUGGAUUUAUUGAAGACUAACUACUGCGAAAGCAUUUGCCAAGGAUGUUUUCAUUAAUCAAGAACGAAAGUUAGGGGAUCGAAGACGAUCAGAUACCGUCGUAGUCUUAACCAUAAACUAUGCCGACUAGGGAUCGGAUGAUGUUAAUUUUUUCA